GGCAUUAUGAGCCUUCCUCACUCCAGCGCUCCUCCCGCGGUGUUACUGUGACCCCUUCACACAUCUGACCCUUUGCCCCUGACAGCACUACUUCUCUGUUAUCCUGGUACACAGCUUAUAGGUUUAUUUCUACCAUCUACUUCACCAGAAGAUAUCAGUUUUAUCUUGACGAAAUAAUAUUCCAGCUUUAAUAAGUCAGUUUUCAUAAGGCAGCUUCUAUUUCAUUAGACUCUACCUCUAUGCCUCGCAAGUUUCACCAGGAAAUUACCGAGUAUUUGGAAUUAUGACUGGCUUGUAGAAAUCAUUGAAUAAUAGUAGGUUGGAUAAAAGUAUGAUAAUGGUUUAGGGGAUAUGCAGGUAUGGUUGGGAGCGAACAUGAAAAGGAUUUGGAGAACAUUGAGAAAGUAGAGUAAGAACUCUAUCUGAACAGUCUGGACUGCAUUUAGGUAUAAGGUAAGGUGGAGUUUUGGAAAGAUAUGUCACAGGUUUGCUCAAUCUUAUCUCAAAAUUCAUUAGAUUUCAUUGCACUUCUUUAAAUCUUUCACUGUUAGGUAUUUCACCUUGUCUUUACUUUAUAAAAUUUUUUACUUUACGUUUUUUCUGGAAUUCUAUUUUGUCACAGUAUCAGUUUAAAAAAUCAAUAAUUCCCUUAAAUAUUACUUUGUUUUCAAAUAUAACUUGGAACUUUAAAAGCCUGUAGCUAAUGAAAAGCCACAUACAGUAAUUUUGAAAUCCUACCAAAAAAUCUAUGCCAAUAUAUGCAAAAUAUUCCUGCAGGUUACCAAAGCCACAUUUAAUAAAAAUGUAAAUCCAAUAAAAGUUUCUAAUAAUUCUGCUUAAUUAAAAUUGUACCCAUGUAUAAUGAA